rnacentral:lncRNA from 1 species
UCAUGAUGCGGUAAUGGGGGUUGAUUUUUUAAGAUGGAUAGCCAUGGAGUUAGGCGUAAUUAUUUUAAGUUGGCAAACACUGAACAUAAAAGUUUUGAAAAUUGGUCAAAAUAGUGAUCUAUCUAACAUUGUACUUUGAUGACUUAUGAAACAAUAUUCCAUUUUCCAGAAAUCACAAUCAAUAGCCAAUAAUUUUGUAGUAAUGAAUCUUUGUACUAAAUAAGGAAAAAGAAAUACUGAAGUUUUGUGUAUAUAGAUAACAGGUCAUUUUUUAAAUGUUUGAGAAGUUCCCAUUGUGGCUCAGUGGGUUCAGAACCCAACAUAGCGUCUGUGAGAAUGCGAGUUCGAUCCCUGGCCUCACUCAGUCAGUGGGUUAAGGAUCCAGCAUUGCUGAAAGCUGAGGUAGGAUGCACAUAUGGCUCAGAUCCCACAUUGCUGUGGCUAUGGUAUAGGCUGGCAGCUGUAGCCCUGAUUCACGUCCUAGCCUGGGAACUUCCCUAUGCCACAAGUGUGGCCCUUAAAAAGAAAAAUGUUUGAGUCACUACAUAUGUAAUAUAUAUGAACAGCUUUGUGUACAAUAUGUAAAUUCUCCCAAGACACAUGAAUAAUAAAAUUAUGUUUACCCAUGUACUUAUAAGUAGUGCUCUUAUGUAUUUAAUUAUUCCCAAAUUCUUGAACAUUAUGAAACUUUUUUCACAUUGUUCUCAAAGACUCUGGUUUUACCUUGAGGCAGAUACUAAUCCUCUUUCAGGAAAAAAAUAUAUUUGGAGUUAAGCUCAGAAUCCUUAGGGGGAAAAGGACACAGAGUGUAAAUAAGUAUUUCUUGGGUAAUACUUAUUUAAACCUUUGAAUGAAUUUGUGAUAUGGUUCAGGCUUAGGGAUUAUGGUACCUGCCCUCUUGCUCCAUUGGAUUUGCUGUGAGAAUUCAUAUAAUAACAUCUGUAAUGGAUUUGGAGUUCUUGGGAGAAAUUCAGUAUUUUAAAUAAUAGGAUUAUUGUAUAUAGUACAAGUUGAUAUUAUUCACAAGGUUUUAAGAUUACAAUUGACUAAUUUAUCAUGUCAGUUUUUACAUGUACAUUGUACAUCUGAGGAAGAUAAUUCUAUACUUUUUUUAAGGUAAGGUUAUUUUCAAAUCGCAUCUUAGCCUCAAAUUUCAUUUUUAAUAAUUUCCAUAACUUACCACGUUACUUUGUGUGUUUCUGGAAUUAUUUAGUGCACAGAAUUAAAAAUAAGUCCUUAAGGGAGAUCCUGCUGUGGCAAAGUGGGUUAAGGAUCUGGUGUGGCUGCAGCUGUGGCUUGGAUUCAGUCCCUGGCCCAGGAACUUCCAUGUGCCAUGGGUGUGGGGGAAAAAAAAAUGUCCUUAAUAAAAGUAAAGGAAUGAUGUCUCGUUUCUAAGGUAAGAAAUUAAAAGCACAGUUUGCACUACUUCUGCAGUAAAAUGGUCUCUCUUUUGACAAAAAUAGAGCUGGUGUACUUCUACUAGUUGAGAUCCUAACUCUGACUCCCUAAGCAUGUGACCGUUGAUAAAAUGUAUAUCUCCCUUUACUUAUAAUAGUACACUUGUUAAAUAAGGCUAACUUAAUUAUUUGUCUUCACCUUAAAUUACAAGAAGUAAUUUGUGUGGUAUAUGCUAAAUUGAAAAAUCCUUAUUAGGCUACUUUAUCUGUUUAUUAUGUGUAUAUAUUCAUUUACCCUGAGGUUGCUUAUCUUUUGGCUCUUUUAAGGUGCAUCUCUUUUGGAAUUAGUGAUUUGGUGCACAACAUUCAGAAAUUCUACCUUCGGUCUUAAAACAGCUCCAAGGAUGUAGAUCCAGCCUGGAAGAGGGUGUGUUCUGCUCUCUACAUGGCCCUGGUCAGGAAGCACAUUUUAAUUUAGAAUCCUAAGUCCAAACCCUUAGCAAACCCUUGUUACCAAACAGACCACUUACAAGUCGAACAAAAUUUAUCUAAGCAAUCCAGUACUCUCUUAUAUCUAAAGGCAGUCUGAUCUCUGCCCUUUAAAUCCACCGUACUUAUUCUUAUGCCUGAAAUUUAUCACUGCAACCCCAUUUUAACCCAAAGUGUUCAGGUUAGAGACACCUGACUCUUUGAAGGGGAAACACUCCAUUAGGUCCAGUGAGGGGACCUCCAAUCCAACAUGAGUGCGUUUUAGUUUUGUGCUCCACCUGCAUCAGGGCCACUGGCUGAUAAUGCAGUGCUCUAAUCUGACUUGCCUCCACACACCAAAGUCAGAAGCAGCAAUUCUUUUUUUUUUUUCCUUAGUUUUUACUGUUUCCUGAUCUCCAGCACAAAACUGAAUGAACAAAUCUACAGUUAACCGAAAAUGCCACUUAUAACUUGGCAGAUUAAAUGACUCAUUGCUUGUAAACCUUGCCAGUCCCACUGAACAGGUAUCGUCCCUACCACAGAGCAGAAGCCAAAAGGUCUUAUUUUAAAAGCUGGAAAUGACUGCACUUCAGCAAUAGCAAGCCACAGGUUGGGAACAUGAAAAUAUGUAACAGGCCAUGCCUGAAAUUGGACCUUCCUCACAUUAGUGAAAGUGGCCUGAGACCCUGGAGGAAGAGGGGAAAAUGACAGCCUCAGAAGCUCCUUUGUGAUGAAUUACCAACACUAAGCCAGAAAUCAUGACUAGUUAAAAUACGUGGUUCUCAUCUCACUAAAUGGGAGAGGCAGGCAGUGAUGUGAGUAACCUUACUUUGAAGACAAAGCUUGUUCUGGUAGAACGGUCCAGCUGAGAAAUGCCUUAGCCUCUUCCUCAAACUGAGGCUCUCCAUCUGUAACUGAAAUACAAGAUAAAUAUUUAUUUUGGCUGUAUGUCCUCUUUAAAAAAGAACUGCCUCCUGAUCUUUAGUAACAAUUUUUAAGAAAGUGUUAUAUUGGAUUUUGCUAUAGAAGAAUGAGCACUGGGGUUCAGCAUCUGGUAUAAUUUAUUUCCACAUGUUCUGUUAGCUCCGUCAGAGCCCAUGAAUAUUUGAUGUGAAGAUGUUGGGUGAUUUUCUUUUUUCCCAUCUCAUUUUGGUAUAUCUUUACUCUGAACACAUAUGCAUGCUCUUCUUAACCUCUAGUCUGAAAUAAUUACAGAGGAGUUUGGUUGUUUUUUUUGUUUUGUUUUGUUUUGUUUUUAAUGGAGGGCAAAAUGCUUGUUAGCAACCAAAAAAAAUCAAAGCUGAACAAGCUGCUAAAGUAGGUUUGUGGUGAAAAAGUUGCAAAAUAUAAUUAACUGCUACUGCUUUCCAAGUAAUUGUAUUACUAGUUCCUGUAUAAAAGAAUGAUUAUUGCUUUCCUUGUAAAAAUAAAAUUUUCCUGCAGUACAAU